UCCAGCUCCCUGCUUAUGCACCUGGGAAAGCAGAAAACAGCCCAAGUGCUUGGGCCCCUGCACUCACAUGGGGCACCCUGAAGCAGCUCUGGGCUCCCGGCUUUGGCCUGCCUGUUUGGAGAGUGAACCAGCAGACAGAAGAUCUGUCUCUCCUCCUCCCUCUGUAACUCUGCCUUUCAACUAAUUUUUAAAAAAAUCUUUAAAGAUCUUUUAAAAAAAAACAGAAUAAAAACAAGUACUCUGUAAAAGUCAGAAGAACAUACAUAAAAAUGUUUAAUACAAAAAUUAGAAUUCCAUGACAUACACAUGUAUAUCUCUGUGCACUGUGUUUCUGUUUUUAUCGACUGAGGGGCCUGAUGUUUUUAUUCAGGUGACUUCUUUACGACAGCCAGUUAAGAUCAGUGUACAAAACCCACAAAACCCAGAAGCGUCUGGACCAAAGGGAGAGCGAGCAGGCCGGCAGGUCACCCAGGGAGACACAGCAACCGCCGUUUCCCACGGGAGGGGGCCGGGCACAGGCAGGCAAGCACGGCCUGGGAAUUGCGGCCCGGCGCAGAGGGGGAACACGACCUCGUGAGCAGAGCAGAGCAGCCCGUCAUCCCACGAAACGAACGGAUCGCCGAGCCACAGGCAGCGUGUGGCAGGGGCUCCGGACGCGCCGACAUCUCCCCCCGAGAUGUGCAUUUGUGGAAAAUCCAGAUCUGCAACGAAGAGUCUUGCAGCCCAGAGUGGCCACAGAACGGUGCAGGAUCUGCUUUCGGUAAAGAAGGGCCUGAGUGCUGAGUCGGGCCACGUUUUCCUUCUGGGACCAGAGCAAGGGGCAGGAAGGUUCCUGGAAUCCUGAGCCGCACCUUGGACCACGGGGGUUCACCGGAGGCAGACAUUCAAGGGAGCCGAAGAAUGAACUCUGACCGAGCCGGCUUCUCUUUGAAGAGAUGAUCACUCAGACCUUACUUGGUGAAGCAAAGUCAGGAAUAGAACACGAGCGGAUGCUUACGACCAACUCAGGAGACCCGGGGCUACCAAGUUCCAGCCAACCUCCUGUUCUCAGCAACUAAGUUCAGAAAUUGAUCCAAAGAGAUACGGGAUAAAAACUGCACCACAAGCCACUUUGGAAGAGAGAGAGUUCAACGUGUGAUGCUGACGUGACCAGGUAGCGUUCUAGGAGAAAAGCCUGCCUGAUACCAGGACAAAUUCCAAAUGGUUUCAAAGUUUAAAGGUAAACACUGGAAACCACGGCACACCCUGGAAGAAAAACAGGAUACUCUCCUAAUGCCCUUGGACGACAGCAGUCUUUCUAACUCCCAGUCCAAUCCAGGAGGCAUGGAAUAAAUUUUGAUAAAUUCUAAGGAUGAGACGAGAUAAGGUCAUUUGCAACUUGCACCAGUCAUGAAGGACAAUUUCCCCAACAAACAAGGCUGCAUUACACUGAGAAGAAACGGGGAGCCCUGCAGAAAAUCUACAGGAGAAAGGGUGAGACGCAGUCUUCCCUAACCACUCACAAAACAUGCAGCCAUUUAAUAACAACGGUGGAAAAGCAGCGCUCCCCUGUACUGCUGGCUGAAGAGUGUUCUGGCAACAUCCACCAAAAUUAUUCAUGGUUACUGCUUUACUCGGACUUCUCUGUAGCUAGGCCUCUGAAGGUACCACACACAAGGCCUCUCAUUGCAACCAUUCCGAACACCGACCACUGGAGACUUCAGAUCAUCCCAUGUCCACAUAAGGGAAUAGAAUACAGCUAGAAAACGCAAAGCCAAGGGUCCAGAAUGGAUAUAAAAAGACCUCCAGGCAGGAAGUGCAGAACCAAGAACACAGAGGGUACAGCAGUGCCUGCAGUGGGCUGCAACUCAAGUUCAUAGUCAACGACAGGUAGUUUUUACCCAAUCUGCGUCGCGUAGAUGGUUCCAUGGAUUUACCUUUCAUUGUAUAUUUAUUUAACGGUGCAUUCUAAAAUGAAUUGUUUCCUCAUACCAGGGGAUUCCAAUUCAAUCCCAUCAAGGUGGCAUGUGCCAAUGCCAUCUCACUACUCCAAGUGAUCAAUUUCAGUUCACAAUUGAUCAUAAUGAAAGGACUAAGAGUCAAAGGGAGCACAUAAACAAGUCUAGUAUCUGCUAACACCAACCGAUAGAAUAAAUAAAGGGGAGAGUGAUCCAACAUGGGAAGUGAGAUACUCAGCAGACUCAUAGAAUGGCAGAUGUCCUAAAUAGCACUCUGGCCUCAGAAUCAGCCCUAAAGGCACUCGGAUCUGGCUGAAAAGCCCAUGAGAGUAUUUCAGGCAUGGAAAGCCAAGACACUCUGGCAAAAAGAUCUCUGUGAGUGAGAUCCCAGUGGAAAGAGCAGGUCUUCAAAGAGGGAGGUGCCUUUCUCUGAAGGGAGGAGAGAACCUCCACUUUGACUAUGACCGUGUCUAAACAAGAUAAGAGUCGGAGAACUCAAGGGGCUUCCAUAGCCUUGGAAACUCAUAACUGGUGCAUAGGGAGAUUACUGAUGCCAUAAACAGGAGUGUCAAUUGGUAAAGUCAACAACAGGAGUCACUGUGCACUUACUCCUCAUGUAGGAUCUCUGUCCUUAAUGUGCUGUACACUGAGGCUUAAUGCUAUAACGAGUACUCAAACAGUAUAUUUCACUUUGUGUUUCUAUGGGGGUGCAAACGACUGAAAUCUUUACUUAAUGUACACUAAACUGAUCUUCUGUAAACAAAAAAAAAAGAAAUUAUCAAUUCCCAACUUGACUCUCACUGGGAUUAAACAUGACAAUAGGUCUGAUCUGAUUUCAUCAUCAUUUAAAAAAAAUCAUCUAUUAUUUUUCACUUUAUGUUUCUGUGUGGGAGCAAACUGUUGAAAUACUUACUUAAGGUAUACUAAGCUGAUCUUCUGUAUAUUAAGAUAAUUGAAAAUGAAUCUUGAUGUGAAUGGAAGGGGAGAGGGAGUGGGAA